rnacentral:rRNA from 1 species
UACGUAGGGUGCGAGCGUUGUCCGGAAUUAUUGGGCGUAAAGAGCUCGUAGGCGGUGUGUCGCGUCGGCCGUGAAAACCUGGGGCUCAACUCUGGGCGUGCGGUCGAUACGGGCAUCACUGGAGUUCGGCAGGGGAGACUGGAAUUCCUGGUGUAGCGGUGAAAUGCGCAGAUAUCAGGAGGAACACCGGUGGCGAAGGCGGGUCUCUGGGCCGAUACUGACGCUGAGGAGCGAAAGCAUGGGGAGCAAACGGG